GCUUUCCUGUGGCUCAGUUGGUAGAGCAUUGUUCUCAAACGCAAAGGUCAUGGGUUCAAAUUCCAGGGAAGGCA
rnacentral:tRNA from 1 species